rnacentral:tRNA from 1 species
GCGAGCGUAGUUCAAUGGUAAAACAUCCCCUUGCCAAGGAGAAGAUACGGGUUCGAUUCCCGUCGCUCGCC